GCUACAUGCUUUAGCAGAAUUCAGGAUACUGGAUGGCUUUGUCUGAAACCUGAAACUUCUUUAUUUGAAAAGUGUUACUGUAAUAUUCCUCCAACAUUAUAAUCUAGACGCCUGCUGGUCCUAUUCUGCAAGGCUGAAGCUGCCUACCACCUUUGACACUGUGCCAUGAUCUUUCCUCUUUGAAGGGAGUGCUGGAAGUGGGAAAUCCCUCAAAAUAAUCUAUUAUCGGAGUUGUCACUUAAAUGGAAGUGAGAAGCAAGUUGAGUUUCUAAAUCUGUCCACUCCAGAAACUGUAGGAAUUGUGGGAAGUAAUUGUGUAUGACAUAAACAUGUGUUCACAAGUAA